UACACUCCUGCGGGAGGCAGCAGUGGGGAAUAUUGGACAAUGGGCGCAAGCCUGAUCCAGCCAUGCCGCGUGAGUGAUGAAGGCCCUAGGGUUGUAAAGCUCUUUCACCGGUGAAGAUAAUGACGGUAACCGGAGAAGAAGCCCCGGCUAACUUCGUGCCAGCAGCCGCGGUAAUACGAAGGGGGCUAGCGUUGUUCGGAUUUACUGGGCGUAAAGCGCACGUAGGCGGACUAUUAAGUCAGGGGUGAAAUCCCGGGGCUCAACCCCGGAACUGCCUUUGAUACUGGUAGUCUUGAGUUCGAGAGAGGUGAGUGGAAUUCCGAGUGUAGAGGUGAAAUUCGUAGAUAUUCGGAGGAACACCAGUGGCGAAGGCGGCUCACUGGCUCGAUACUGACGCUGAGGUGCGAAAGCGUGGGGAGCAAACGGGAUUAGAUACCCGAGUAGUCCCA
rnacentral:rRNA from 1 species